rnacentral:rRNA from 1 species
UACAGAGGGUGCGAGCGUUGUCCGGAAUCACUGGGCGUAAAGGGCGCGUAGGCGGCUCAGUAAGGUUGCGGUGAAAGCCCGGGGCUCAACCCCGGGUCGGCCGUGGCAACUGCUGGGCUGGAGCACUGUAGAGGCAGGUGGAAUUCCGGGUGUAGCGGUGGAAUGCGUAGAGAUCCGGAAGAACACCGGUAGCGAAGGCGGCCUGCUGGGCAGUAGCUGACGCUGAGGCGCGACAGCGUGGGGAGCAAACAGG